UAGGGAAUCUUCCGCAAUGGACGCAAGUCUGACGGAGCAACGCCGCGUGUGUGAAGAAGGAUUUCGGUUCGUAAAACUCUGUUGUUAGAGAAGAACAGCGCAUAGAGUAACUGUUAUGCGUGUGACGGUAUCUAACCAGAAAGCCACGGCUAACUACGUGCCAGCAGCCGCGGUAAUACGUAGGUGGCAAGCGUUGUCCGGAUUUAUUGGGCGUAAAGCGAGCGCAGACGGUCAAUUAAGUCUGAUGUGAAAGCCCCCGGCUCAACCGGGGAGGGUCAAUGGAAACUGGUUGACUUGAGUGCAGAAGAGGAGAGUGGGAUUCAAUGUGUAGCGGUGAAUUGCGUAGAUAUAUGGAGGAACACCAGUGGCGAAGGCGACUCUCUGGUCUGUAACUGACACUGAGGUUAGAAAGCGUGGGUAGCAAACAGG
rnacentral:rRNA from 1 species